rnacentral:lncRNA from 1 species
AGGGGCCUUCAGAGCCUGCCCUUCCGCAGGAGCUCAGAGGUCUGGAGCUCCACAUACCUUCCACGAGGCCUUGGCUUGGGUGCUACUUCCCCCCAUGAAUCACUUCAAUCUGUUUAAGGCUGCACAGUGAACCCUUCACAGGCCACGUUCUGCACAGCGUCCUCAGCAGGAAAUGGUUGGCUGAGCAAACAUUUGUUUCCUGUUUUGCUUUUGAUGAUUUUACAUUUCAACUCAACCUAGCUUUCCUCUUUUUGUUUUUGUAGUAAUGAAAAUCAACACACCGAACCAACAAAAUUGGUUAUAUCUCAUGUGCUUUGAAUGAUGCUAUUAAAAAUACACUUGAAUAUAUCUUAUAAGAGGUAUUGGUUUUAGAAGAGGGCGAUGGAGCUUCGGAAUGGCCUGGGGACUGCUGGAGAGGCACAGAAGUCCCCCAGAACCUUGACUGAAGAACCAGCAGUCUGUGCGGGGUUUGAAUUCACCAUUAACACCCAGGGUAACCUCAGUCCACAGAAUGUAAGAAGACAAGCGAGGCAAUGUUGUGGAGUCCAGCGGCUGAAUCCGUUCCACUCCAGAAGAAAUGCCCCGAUUGUCCUUCCUAAGCAAAAAUUGCCACGAUUCCCCAUAAACAUGCAGUUGUCCGUUGACUGUUAUAAAUAGACUUUAAUACACAACCAGCUGUCUGAGAGAGUUUAUAACUGUUGACCAAAGACACAGUGGGGAAGGGAAAUGGGAGAUUUCCACAAAGCAGGAGAAUGGCUUGUCAGCAGUGAGUGAGCUUGUGCACAGAUCCCCCAUUUAAAAUAUGUCAGCAUGCCUGGAUUUGAGCUAAAAUUAGGGGACAGCACAAUGGGCUUCAUGUGGGAGCCUUCAAUAGAUACUCUAUUCUUCUCUCAUGGGCACCCUUGAAUUCAGGAUUGUGAAAUAAGUGGCAGUUACCAGCAGACAGCCUGUAAAGUGCUAGUCAAAGGAGAUAUUUCAGAUGAUACAAAGCAAGAUGCACCAGUUGGGCUGUGAUAGAAUUAACCUCUGCCCCUAGCUCUUCUCAUUUCCGGUACUAUUUUUCUUUAUAUUUUCCAAGAUGUCUCUUUUGCCUUCUUUUCCAGCCUCCCCAGAUAAUCAUUCUCUAAGACUGUUCUGAACAGUUUAGUUUAACUAGAUGCAAUCCCUGGGGCAAAAUGGUGUCUCAAAAUCUAAUGGGGUGUGACAGAAUGGGGCCCAGAGCAGCCUGCUCUGAGUUUUGACCAGCCAGCGAGAGAUCACUGGAUGUGACUGUGGCUGAAAAUGGAUGGGCUGCUGUUGCAAAGCUCAGUGAAACUAAGCAGGGAAGGAGAGACAUGCCUUCAAGGAACAAAGAUGGAUAUAAAGGGGACAGACAGAAGACAGACACAGAAGUAGAACCCAGAGGGAAAAAUGUAUGUUUCUUUCCCCUGUAAAAUACAUAGGAGCAAAACUGAAGAUCAUAUUUUAGAAGAAAAUAGUGCAUUGUGUGCAUUUUUUAGAUAUACCUUUUCCCAAAGGUCUGCAAAAUAUGCUACAAGACACUGCAAUUUCUCUUCAUAUCCUCAGUUUAAUCCCCACCCCCCAAAAAAAAUUUUUAAGAAGUAUUCUGAAUUUUAAUUGAAGUAUAAUUGGUUUUAUAUUAGAUUCAGGCAUGAUA